CAGCCGCCACGGGAAUACGGAGGGGGCUAGCGUUGUUCGGAAUUACUGGGCGUAAAGCGCACGUAGGCGGCUUGGUAAGUUAGAGGUGAAAGCCUGGAGCUCAACUCCAGAAUUGCCUUUAAGACUGCCGAGCUAGCAGGUGAGAGAGGUAAGUGGAAUUCCGAGUGUAGAGGUGAAAUUCGUAGAUAUUCGAAAGAGCACCAGUGGCGAAGGCGGCUUACUGGCUCAUACUGGACGCUGAGGUGCGAAAGCGUGGGGAGCAAACAGGAUUAGAUACCCGCGUAGUCCCUGUCUCUUAUAC
rnacentral:rRNA from 1 species